CCUACGGGUGGCAGCAGUGGGGAAUAUUGGGCAAUGGGCGCAAGCCUGACCCAGCAACGCCGCGUGAAGGAAGACGGCUUUCGGGUUGUUAACCUCUUUUGUCAGGGACGAAGCAAGUGACGGUACCUGACGAAUAAGCAACGGCUAACUACGUGCCAGCAGCCGCGGUAAUACGUAGGGCGCAAGCGUUAUCCGGAUUUAGUGGGUGUAAAGGGCGUGUAGGCGGGAAUGCAAGUCAGAUGGGAAAACUAUGGGCUCAAACCAUAGACUGCAUUGGAAACUGUAUUGCUUGAGUGCAGGAGAGGUAGGCGGAAGGCGGGGGGGAGCGGUGAAAUGCGUAGAUAUAAGGAAGAACAC
rnacentral:rRNA from 1 species